CAAAAAGCGGAUAGCCACGCCACCUUUAUUUCCCGUCGCACCACCAAGACCGGUUUUGACCGAGUCGGUGGCCACGUCCCGCACAUCAGCCGCUAAUUCGGGUCGAAUAAAAACGUAGAGACAUACGCCAACAAGUUGAACCUCAGUUGCCCAGGCUUUGGCAUUCUCACUGCUCGCUGCCAUGAUAUUUGAAGCGUUCAAGUCCACGAUUUCUUCGAAACCUACGGCAUAGAUGUCCGCUGACCGCCAACCUUCUUCCUCGCUGAGACAUACCAAUGAUCUAUUUAAACAAAGUAAUAAAAAAAAAAAGGAAAAAAGGAUAGAGAAAUGAACUAGUAAGAACAAAACUGUAGAGUGAUUUAAACCCAAAAGGACAACUCAGAAUAAACAAUUAUUCAAAGAGU